UCAGUAUCUGGUACAAAUCAGAAAAGAAACAGCAGUUCCUUGUUAUUUACUGUUAUCCCUGACAAGACAGGAAACACAAGAUACGAUGGAGACAGACUCGCAGAGACGUCAAUGAGCAAGAAUUCACCUGUUGUGUCUCCGGUCUACAUGAAGAUCACUGUCUCUGAAACUGAAAGGGGGUGACGGCCGCCAAUAGGCGAAUGAACCCAGGAGCCACGAUGGAGAGACUGUGACAGAGUGGACAUGAACAGUAGAGGGUCCACUGUCAAGCUGGAGGUGUCUUCAUCUUCUGUACUGUACUAUGGCUGUGGGACAGGCUGCUUUUGUAAAUACAGUACAAUCACAUGAGUCAAUUAAAUGUAUAUAGAUCAGUUUGAGCACAACAUAAGUAUGUGACCAGUGAAAUACAAAAGAUAACUAACUUUCCUCCUUUGUUCUGUAUGACUAUGAAUGUCACUUCACAAUUAAAUAAAGUUCAGAAAAUUAUUGUUCUUCACAUACAAUGUAUCACUAGACUAAACAGUUUGUCCUCUAGAUAAAUUUAAGUUUAAAUUAACUAUUAGUUACAAAGAGGUCAAAUAUACAACAUAAACAUAACAUAAACUUAGGAUAUGGCUAAAGCAAACCAAACUUUCAAUCAUGAGUAAUCAUACUACCUCAUCUCUGGCCCGGCCUUUAUGUACUCUCAUUGUUGUUAUAUAUCUAUGUUUCUUCUGUAAUGUAGUUAUGUAUUAUCUUGAAUUGUAUUGUAUUGUAGUACUUGUUAAGCAUUGUACUAAUUUGUAAUAACCUGCCCAGAGACAACAGAUGAAAAUUAGCUCAUUAUCUCAACACUGGCACAUUUACAUUAACGUGGAAACUGAAAUGCUGAUUAAUGUGCACUCUCCCUUUUAAAUAAAUAAAUUAACAAAUAAAUAACACUAGUGGCGGUACUUAAUUUCACCAGAUAGAAACUAUAAGAAGUUGAUUUCUUCCCACUUGUAUUUAGUUAAUCCAUACCACAUGUCUGGAGGAAAGUCAAACAUGAUGCUGGUGUCUGAGGCUCAGCUCUGAUCAGCCGAUUCUUGUCUCUAAAUCUCUGUAGCUACUGUCUGUGAGUGUCCUGAGAUCACAGUAAACAGUACAAUAAAGGCCAAUCCAUGCUUUCCAGGUCAGGUAAAUGUCGUCAUCAGCCCUUGUCCAUGAGGGUUCACACAGCAGCCCAAAAUUAGUGACCACAUGAACUGUACGCGUUGCAAGUGUGC